rnacentral:lncRNA from 1 species
GGCCACUCGCUGGCUGGGCACAGGGACGGGUGGCACCAGGGCACCCCGGCCGCACAGAAGCGCUCUCGGAGCCCCCCGGGCACGGGGACGGUGCGGGGGCAGUACACAGGUGGGUGCAGGGCAGGCUGACCCCACAGGGCGGGUGAUGGGGGCUGCCCUCCCCUGGCCCUGCUGACACCGGGACUUGCAGGGACGCGGUACCGGGUGCCACCGCCCGGCACCCCGGCACCCCGAGGAGAGCCGAGCACCCCGGGGUGCCCCCAGUGCCACGGGAGCAGGAUGGCACCAGCCGGACCCACGACGGGCGACGCCGUGCGGCAGCCCCAGCAGAGCACCCCCAGGACACGGCGCUGCCCCACGUGCCGGGCACCCCGAGCUGGCCCCACGGCGAGCAGCAGGGACGGAGCCGCACACGGUGCGUGGCAGGGGCAGGCCUGGCU